AUUGAACGCUGGCGGCAGUCCUAACACAUGCAAGUCGAACGAGUGGCGGACGGGUGAGUAAUGUCUGGGAAACUGCCCGAUGGAGGGGGAUAACUACUGGAAAGGGUAGCUAAUACCGCAUACCAUCAGAUGUGCCCAGAUGGGAUGAGCUAGUAGGUGGGGUAACGGCUCACCUAGGCGACGAUCCCUAGCUGGUCUGAGAGGAUGACCAGCCACACUGGAACUGAGACACGGUCCAGACUCCUACGGGAGGCAGCAGUGGGGAAUAUUGCACAAUGGGCGCAAGCCUGAUGCAGCCAUGCCGCGUGUAUGAAGAAGGCCUUCGGGUUGUAAAGUACUUUCAGCGAGGAGGCGUUACUCGCAGAAGAAGCACCGGCUAACUACGUGCCAGCAGCCGCGGUAAUUC
rnacentral:rRNA from 1 species